rnacentral:rRNA from 1 species
GAUGAACGCUGGCGGCGUGCCUAACACAUGCAAGUCGAGCGAGAACCGCUGGAAUGACACUUCGGUAGAAUGAAAGCGGGGAAAGCGGCGGACGGGUGAGUAACGCGUAGGUAACCCUGCCCCAUACACAGGGAUAGCCUAGGGAAGCCUGGAUUAAUACCUGAUGAAGCAACUGGUCGCAUGACCGGCUGCCAAAGAUUUAUCGGUAUGGGAUGGACCUGCGUCUGAUUAGUGAGUUGGUGGGGUAAUGGCCUACCAAAGCGACGAUCAGUAGCCGACCUGAGAGGGUGAUCGGCCACAUUGGAACUGAGACACGGUCCAAACUCCUGCGGGAGGCAGCAGUGGGGGAUAUUGCACAAUGGGCGGAAGCCUGAUGCAGCAACGCCGCGUGAGCGAAGAAGGUCUUCGGAUCGUAAAGCUCUGUCCUGGGGGAAGAAACAAAUGACGGUACCCCGGGAGGAAGCCCCGGCUAACUACGUG